rnacentral:rRNA from 1 species
GACGAACGCUGGCGGCGUGCCUAAUACAUGCCAGUUGAGCGCUGAAGGUUGGUACUUGUACCGACUGGAUGAGCAGCGAACGGGUGAGUAACGCGUGGGGAAUCUGCCUUUGAGCGGGGGACAACAUUUGGAAACGAAUGCUAAUACCGCAUAAAAACUUUAAACACAAGUUUUAAGUUUGAAAGAUGCAAUUGCAUCACUCAAAGAUGAUCCCGCGUUGUAUUAGCUAGUUGGUGAGGUAAAGGCUCACCAAGGCGAUGAUACAUAGCCGACCUGAGAGGGUGGUCGGCCACAAUGGGAAUGAGACACGGCCCAAACUCCUACGGGGAGCAGCAGGAGGGAAUCUUCCGCAAUGGACGAAAGGCUGACCGGGCAACGCCGCGGGAGUGAAGAAGGGUUUCGGGUCGUAAAACUCUGUUGGUAGAGAAGAACGUUGGGGAGAGUGGAAAGCUCAUCAAGUGACGGUAACUACCCAGAAAGGCACGGCUAACUACGUG